GUUGUUAAAGGCUUGGCAGUUACCGUUUCGUUAGAAUCAGCUUCAACGUUUUGAGAGAUUUCAUCCACCAAUGGCCAUUCCGUUAUCUGAUUCUGGUU
rnacentral:misc_RNA from 1 species